rnacentral:rRNA from 1 species
CGUAGGGGAACCUGCGGAGGGAUCAUUACACAAUACAAUAUGAAGGCUGUCCGCAGCUGGAGUAUUUUAUUACCCUUGUCUUUUGCGCACUUGUUGUUUCCUGGGCGGGUUCGCUCGCCACCAGGACCACCAAAUAAACCUUUUUUAUGCAGUUGCAAUCAGCGUCAGUACAAACAAUGUAAAUCAUUUACAACUUUCAACAACGGAUCUCUUGGUUCUGGCAUCGAUGAAGAACGCAGCGAAAUGCGAUACGUAGUGUGAAUUGCAGAAUUCAGUGAAUCAUCGAAUCUUUGAACGCACAUUGCGCCCUUUGGUAUUCCAAAGGGCAUGCCUGUUCGAGCGUCAUUUGUACCCUCAAGCUUUGCUUGGUGUUGGGCGUUUUUGUCUUUGGUCGCCCAAAGACUCGCCUUAAAGUGAUUGGCAGCCGGCCUUUCUGGUUUCGCAGCGCAGCACAUUUUUGCGCUUGCCAUCAGCAAAACGGCAAUCCAUCAAGCCUCCUUCUCACGUUUGACCUCGGAUCAGGUAGGGAUACCCGCUGAACUUAAGCAUAUCAAUAGCCGGA